UCUGGUUGAUCCUGCCAGUAGUCAUAUGCUUGUCUCAAAGAUUAAGCCAUGCAUGUCUAAGUUCACACUGUUCCACGGUGAAACCGCGAAUGGCUCAUUAAAUCAGUCGAGGUUCCUUAGAUGACACGAUCCUACUUGGAUAACUGUGGCAAUUCUAGAGCUAAUACAUGCUUACCAAGCUCCGACCCUCGUGGAAAGAGCGCUUUUAUUAGUUCAAAACCAAUCGUCGUCACCCUUCGCGGGGUGGCGGCGUCCCCACUGGUGACUCUGGAUAACUUUGUGCUGAUCGCAUGGCCUCACGUGCCGGCGACGCAUCUUUCAAAAUGUCUGCCCUAUCAAAAUGUCGAUGGUACGUGACAUGCCUACCAUGUUUGUAACGGGUAACGGGGAAUCAGGGUUCGAUUCCGGAGAGGGAGCAUGAGAAAACGGCUACCACAUCCAAGGAAGGCAGCAGGCGCGCAACUUACCCACUCCCGGCACGGGGAGGUAGUGACGAAAAAUAACAAUACGGGACUCUUUCGAGGCCCCGUAAUUGGAAUGAGUACACUUUAAACCCUUUAACGAGGAUCUAUUGGAGGGCAAGUCUGGUGCCAGCAGCCGCGGUAAUUCCAGCUCCAAUAGCGUAUAUUAAAGUUGUUGCAGUUAAAAAGCUCGUAGUUGGAUCUCAGGCGCAGGCGGGCGGUCCGGCUCGCGCCGGUUCACUGCUCGUAUCUCCUGCCCUACCGUCUGCCGGCUCUCUCCCGCGGGUGCUCUUCGCUGAGCGUCCCGGGUGGCCGGCGCGUUUACUUUGAAAAAAUUAGAGUGUUCAAAGCAGGCCUCGGCUGCCUGAAUAAUGGUGCAUGGAAUAAUGGAAUAGGACCUCGGUUCUAUUUUGUUGGUUUUCGGAACUGGAGGUAAUGAUUAACAGGGACAAACGGGGGCAUUCGUAUUGCGGCGUUAGAGGUGAAAUUCUUGGAUCGCCGCAAGACGAGCUACUGCGAAAGCAUUUGUCAAGAAUGUUUUCAUUAAUCAAGAACGAAAGUCAGAGGCGCGAAGACGAUCAGAUACCGUCGUAGUUCUGACCAUAAACGAUGCCGACUAGCGAUCCGCAGGAGUUGCUUCGAUGACUCUGCGGGCAGCUUCCGGGAAACCAAAGUGUUUGGGUUCCGGGGGAAGUAUGGUUGCAAAAGCUGAAAACUUAAAAGGAAAUUGACGGAA
rnacentral:rRNA from 1 species